rnacentral:rRNA from 1 species
AACGCUAGCUACAGGCUUAACACAUGCAAGUCGAGGGGCAGCAUUGGGGUAGCAAUACUUCAGAUGGCGACCGGCGCACGGGUGAGUAACACGUAUCCAACCUGCCGCUUACUCGGGGAUAGCCUUUCGAAAGAAAGAUUAAUACCCGAUGGUAUAAAGAGUUCGCAUGUUCUCUUUAUUAAAGAAUUUCGGUAAGCGAUGGGGAUGCGUUCCAUUAGAUAGUUGGCGGGGUAACGGCCCACCAAGUCUACGAUGGAUAGGGGUUCUGAGAGGAAGGUCCCCCACAUUGGAACUGAGACACGGUCCAAACUCCUACGGGAGGCAGCAGUGAGGAAUAUUGGUCAAUGGGCGCGAGCCUGAACCAGCCAAGUAGCGUGAAGGAUGAAGGUCCUGCGGAUUGUAAACUUCUUUUAUAAGGGAAUAAAGUCACCCACGUGUGGGUGUUUGUAUGUACCUUAUGAAUAAGCAUCGGCUAACUCCGUGCCAGCAGCCGCGGUAAUACGGAGGAUCCGAGCGUUAUCCGGAUUUAUUGGGUUUAAAGGGUGCGUAGGUGGUUUGAUAAGUCAGCGGUGAAAGUUUGAGGCUCAACCUUAAAAUUGCAGUUGAUACUGGCGUCCUUGAGUACGGUUGAGGCAGGCGGAAUUCGUGGUGUAGCGGUGAAAUGCAUAGAUAUCACGAAGAACUCCGAUUG